rnacentral:tRNA from 2 species
CAGGAAAUAGUUUAUAAAAAAUAUUAAUUUUGGAGAUUAAAGAAGGAGGAUUCCUUUUCUGA